rnacentral:lncRNA from 1 species
AUACUGGUUCGGCCCUCUGGCGGGAGCCGUUGUGGCAGGCCUAAUCUACGAGUAUAUCUUCGAUACUAAGAAGACUGCCAAAACGUUGAAAAAAGCGCUAAACGAAAUAGACAGAGAGUCGAACCUCGACGAAGACGAUUAUGAAGAUCCUGAAAGGUGCCAGAUGACCAAAGCCAGAGGUCCACAGGCGUCCGAAGAGUUUCAGGCUCAGUGUUACGACCAAAACUUGAGGCCCAGCACCCCUUCUACUUACCCAGCUUCCACAGAAUCCACCUACAGAGCGCACAGCGCCCCCACGUCCAGCUACGGAGAAAUCAGUGGGCCACGGUUUGGAGGUGGCUUUAGGGGUGUGCCAACCCGUAUGGAAUAUGACGCUGGGUCCGCGAAGUUUUGACCUUUUCAUCCCAGAACUUUAUAAUAGCGGGGCGAUAUCAAAACCCAGAAUCAAAAUGAUGAAAGUGUUACGUCCACCAUGUUUAAACUGCAGGUUUACCAAACUCGCCACCUACACUACGAUUUAACAUUUACUUUUUAACUGGAAUUAAUCUUUCGAUGUUUGUAGUCAGAAUAAUCUUGGUGCCAAAAACCGGUUUAACGUCGGUUUUCUGUCUCUACUGGCCAAGACUGUAACAAUUCAAACCAACUGAGCGAACAGCAACGACAGAGCAAGUUUCUGGGGGGCGAAAAAAUAGGUACGAGACUUUUUAAAAGUUCUAAAAAUGUUAUUUAUGACAUUAACUAAGUUUGGGCGUUUUGAGAAUACAAACAUGGCUUCGGUAAGUCGUUUUUUUUUCUCUCUCUCUCUCUUAAAAGUUUUAGCGUUGUUUGACUGAAAUGUUUAAACAAAUUUCACAAUUUUUUUAAAUGGAUCCAAAUUGUUGACAAUCAUGAGUAAGAUAUGUGAGUUUUUUGUUGUUUUUUUUAUUUGAUUGCUGCGUUCCAUGUUUUUCAUACAACAUUGCUAACCUGGUUAAGCCUAAGUUUUUCAUAUAAUAUUGCUAACCUGGUUAAGCCUAAAUGCGAAAGUAAACUGUUAGGGUCAUACGGUAAUAUAAAAACAAUGGAUAUGACGGACAUAAUUUGGUUGAAAUACUAUUAUAUAAUUUAAAAAACAUGAGGGACUGACUAAAGAAUGAACUGAUUAAAAUAUACUAGGCCUGAUACUAAUGUCGUAUAAGUAAUGAUAAAUUAUAUAUAUAUUUUAGGAUUUUUCUCGAAUUUUCUACUUCUUUGAUGAAGUCUUUAUCGUUUAGUUUCAAGAUUUACGUCUGCAGUAGUCCUCAGGUGAGUUAGUGGUAAACUUAGGGACUUACAACCUUAAAAUCCAGUGUUUGAUUACCUGCAGUAGACAGAUAGCCUAUUGUGUAGCUUUAGACUGAAGCUUUGAAAAUCAUUUUAAUUUAUAGAUACAAAACUUGUCUUUGUUAUUUUUUCUUUACACUUGCUGCUAAAAAUCUCAAUAUAAUUUGUUGAGAAACUUUUUUUAUAGGAGGCGCUAUUGCUAUUCUAAUCACCGGAACUUGAUAAUGCUCAACAACGUCGUCGUCAACGCAUUUCUUUUUAAUACCUAAUUGUGCAGGUACGUUACAAAACAAAACUACUAAGUUUAGGACACAAAGCAGGGCUGUGCACGCGUUUAAAGGUUAUGUAACAUUCUAACUCUUGGUACAAAUCUCAAGUAAUUUGUUGUAUAAAGUUAGUGAUUUCUUGACCUUUACAUUCUUAAAUUCUUUAGAGCAUCAAACAUCGCUUCCAUUGUAAGUUAACAGUUCGUAAGUAAAAUAAACCAAUUAUUAAUUUCAUAAUUUGAAUCAUCACUAUAGCCAGUCUCCAGGUGGGUCACCCAUAAAAGAUAAAACAUACCACAAACACACUAUAGCCAUCUGUUGUCUUUUUUAAAAACUAAAUUGACGAGUAAUGACUUACUGAAUUUAAAUAUAUUUCCGCAUGUUAUACAAAGAUAACAUAAACUAGCAAUAAAAGCAUAUACUGUUAAAAUAUGUUUUGGAUUUUUAUAGUAGUUGUUUAUAGCUACCAUCCAAAUAAUUGUAGUAAAUAUCUUUAAAACUAGUUACCCCGAAGACAGCCUGGAGGGGGGGCACAUGUUUUAACCAUUCAUACCACUGUACAGUAGUGUGUUGUCUGUCAGUCAGUCAGAUGACAUUAAAAUGACGCUUAAUGUUGCAAUUUGUACUGUCGUGACGCCAGUAAAACGUGUACAUGCCAUGAAUCACGAGAAAAAUUAUGAACUUUAUAGGCUACAACAGGGCAUGACGUAUAAACUUCAAAAGCAAUUAAUAAAAAUAUUUGUUACUUUUAAUUUGGCAAAUACAAUGGUUUCUUUCAAUUUUGACUUAAUUCAGGAGUGAAAAUGCUCAUCAAAUAUUUUGGAAAUAUGUUACCACUUACGAACUAUUAGCUAUAGAUUAUUAAAGAGUGAAUGAUAUUGUUCGAAGUGUAUUUAGGUUUAUGGUACUACAGGCUAUUAGUUUUAUCUUGUACUGACAUCUUAAUUGUUUUCCUAAAUACUUCAUAUACGUAUAUUUAAGUCAUUGAGUUACGUGAAUUUUAAUUCUUAAUAAAAAUUACAAUUUACUAAUUCUUUACGCGUAUUUCGUAAAACCAGAGAUAAAAGUGGUUAAAAGUUAUUUUGGUUGUUAAUUUUGAGUAUUUUUAGAUUUAAUGCUACCCUAAAUUGAACGAAACUCAAUGACAUGAAACAGAACAAGUUUAACUGUAUAAAAGUUAGGGUUAUGUGUCGAGUGCAAUAAACUUUUAAUUCCCACGUA